GCCAGAAGCUUCUUCCAUGUCCAGCAGAGCCAGUCCCUGGUGGCUCCAAAAAUGGAAGUGCUGCUGGCCAAGGCUGGGCCAAUUUGAAAUUGUGGCUGACACUAAUCCAUGGAAAGUGCUGCGAGAAAGUGUGGCCUACAAAAUCAGUGAAUAAACCAGAAAAAUCCAUAUCCUUUACUGGGACUGGGAGCUGUAAAUGCCAUGAAGACUCAGCUGUGGGUUUUUGCAGGUUUGAAGUAGUUGGCUACUGUGCAGGAAAACUUCAGACCAAAGGAAAAGCCUGAAAAGAAAUAUUUGUCCAAGAUUCUCUAAAUGUCACUGAGGAUGUGAUUUCUAGUAAUUGAGUUCUGGUAAUGGCAUUUCCUGCAUUUUCACACACGACCUUCAGCUGAAACAAUUUGUAAAAGAAGAUGAAGCAGAAUAGAAAUAAAUUUCAAGCAUUAAUUAAUUAAGUCCUGUUUUCUUUUUUGCAUCUCUCAUGUCUCUAAGUGUGGUUGUAGGACAAGAAUCACACCCUUUCCAAUGUUUGGGAAGCCUAAAAAAACUUAUUAUACCUCUUUUGUUUUUAGUCCCCAUCUUUGGGAAAAUCAAAAUAAGAAUUUAGGCUCUCAAAGAGUAACUUCUGCAGAACUUGAAUGUUUGCAUUUGUUUAAGCAACAUCUGCAGUUUCAAAUGUUUUAAACCAAAAUUAUUUACCUGUCCAAACUUGACAUGCUCUGCAUUCCAGAUGCACUUUCAGCUAUGCAGCUCUCACCUGAGGCCACUUGGAACCCACAGCAAGACAUCCCUGUGCCUAAGUCCUUAGAGCAAAAGAAAGAAAUAAAUAAGGGGAGAAAAGGGAAAAAAAAAAGUGUGCUCUGCAAUAGAGAAAGUGAAGCUAAUAUUUAUUCAGAGAUGAAAAUUCUGAGUGAAGAAAAGAAUUUGUCCUGAGGGUUUAUGCAGCACAGAAGUGGGUGUAAAUGAUUCUUAUCUUCUCCAAAUUUGCCCAGUAAUUUGAAUUCCUUCUAGACAUUGAAUUAGGAUAUCUUAACACCAAAUUAUUCCUGUAGCUGGCAUGACUAGUUUCCUAGCCAUUUUUAUUCACAAGAUCAGACUUUUCUUAAGUUGUUCCCUUAUAAAGUAUAAGUUUACACAGUUAAAAAACAGAACAGAACACUAUCUCCUAAAGCUAAAUUCUCUACAGGAACCUUAAGGAAAUAAAGUGGCAAAGGUCUUUGAAUUAAAUCCUGUUGAAACUGGUUGUGUUCGGAGCAUCAAUUUUGUAUAUACUAAACACCUGUCUCUUUAAAAAUUUUAUAUUAUGCAAGCCCAAUUCUGAUGUUUAUGAAUUGCAUGUACUACUCCAAGCUUGUUCUUUUGUGACUUCAGAUCCAAAUGGACUCAUUGUUUUCCUUCAUCAAAUACUUGUGUUGAUUUAAGUUUACUAACAGGGUGAAGAGAUGCUUUUAAUAGUGAUUGAAUUGUGGUAAUAUUGAUAUCUGAAGCACAAGAAGUAAUGCACCACUGCCCUGGAAGAUCUGAGUAUUUUUCCUCCCUGUAUCAGCAACAUCUUUGCCUCGGUAUUCUUUAUAUGUCACAUUUUACACUUUUCAAAAGAAAAGCCACUAUGUUCCUGCGUGAGUAAUUAACUUCCAGCACCAAUACAUACCCUGUGGUCUACACCCUAAUGCCCAAGUCUGCCCUGGUGGAUUUCAAGACAGGGACUGGAAAUAGACUUGAGUCUAUUCUGUGAUGAUGCACAUCUCAGGCCAUCUUUAGAGAACAUUACAUUCACUUCAGCAAAAUAUAAGUUUGGUAACUGAAGUUAGUUUUGAUCCCCUUUACUGUUAGCUAGCUUGUGGUUUUUAUCUGUAGUAUGUUGCUGCCCAAAUUACAUCUUUUUAAGACUUUUGAGGUAAUGUCCUCAACACAAGCCAAGCACAUGCCAACACAAUGACAAAUCAGUGUGAUUUAAGGCCUUGCUGCACAAGACUUUGUCCAGUGAAAUUUUGAAUAUCUCCGUUGACAGGGACUCCACAACUUCUCUGGUCCCUGUUUCAAAGUCUAUCACCAUCUCAUUAAAAAAAUCUCAUAAAGUCCCUUGUUCCAACUUGUGUCCAUUGGCUUUUGUUCUUCCACUGGGCACAUCUGGGAUGAGAAUGCAUCUGUCUUCUCUACAUUCCCCCAGAGGUGAAAUAUUUCAAGGUAGCAGUAAGAUCUACCUCUUUUUUGCCUUUUUUGAAAGCAGAACCACCCCAGUUCUCUCCUCAUAUGUCACAUGUGUUCCAUCUCCAUGAUCGGCUUCACAGCUCUCUGCUGGACUUCUCCAGUGUGUUGAUGUCUUUCUUGCACUUGGGAGUGCAAGAGCACUGUAGUCCAACAGAGGUAUAGCUAGUGCCAAAUAAAGGAGAAUAAUGGGCUUCUUUGACCUACUAGUUACACUCUAAAAGUCAUCUUGUUAAUGUAGUUGGCCUCCUGCAAGGGCACACUAACAUAUCGUGCUAAAAUAUGCUGUUCCUAUGAGAGAUAAACCUACCUUAUGACACUGAGUUACAAGGCCAGCAACAGCAAAGCUUCUGUUUGGACAGUACACUUAAAUUUUAUUAUCAGGCUUCUCUUUGAUUUUAAACAAAACAAUUAUGGAUCUCUUAUACUUCACCACACACCUUAGGAGACAUUCUCCACUGAAGAUGGCUCUUACUUCCUAAGGGAAAAAUAAUACAAAAUAGUAUUUGAUCCCAAAGACUAAAGAGUGUAAUAGGAAUGACUGGUUCAAGAGAAGAGAUGUAAUGAGAAGAAGCAGUGAGAAGUAAUGACAUGGGAAGAAAGAAAGAGGAACUAAUGAAAGGGCAAAAUGGGAAAUGGUAGGGGAAAGGGCAAGAGAAGUAUUGUAGAGGUGAAAGCUGGGAAGAAAUAGUCUUUAGUCUUUAAAAGCAUCUGGAAAGCCUGGCAACACUAGCAAAGGCCUCUUCUCAAGCCCCAGAGCCUACUGCAAAAACAGACCCUGCUGACCUCCUCUUUCAAACCCUUUUAAAGUUCUAAACACUAUAAAAUCUAUCCUAGUGUUUCAAAUAAACUCAGUGACUGCUUGCAGUGCGUGAAUCCUUGAUCAGUCUUUUGGCUCUGCAUAAUCAACUUUCCACAGUACACUGAGACUCUGGCAUUGCUUCUCAGUGGCCAGUGCCAGCAGCAACCUGAGUUUCAACCAUUUUAAAUUUGGAAGGAUUAAGAAUUUAAAUCUAAAUUCAGUGACUUGUUUAGUCUAAAGAGUUAUUCUAUGCUUAAAAUUUAUUUUUUUAACAAAAUCACUCAACAAGUCUAGUAGCUGUUCCUAAACCAGCUGAGUUUCUGCUAAUUUUGCUUCUCAGCUUUCAAGCUUUAUAUUCAAACUAUCCUCCCAUUUUUUAGCCAUUUGCCCCAACAGGAUCAAACAGGGCAUUUUUGUGUAAUGAACUCCUUUCUCCAUGACCACAGCUUUCACCAUGGACAGCAAAAACGUUGCAAAUUGGGCUUUAUUUAUUUAUUGUAUUUGUUAUAUAACACCCAUCCCCAUGUAUCUGGCUGCCCUACAAAAGUUAAAAGCAAGAAUAAAUAAAAUAAGGCCAUACCCAGUGGCCAGAGAGAAGCAGCUGUUCUGCCAAGAGAAGAGCCAAGAGAAAACAACUCUGAGAAAAAGAGCUGUUGAGAAAAUCAAGAUAAAAUGAUCAAAGAUGCACCGUCCAGAAAGGUCAGCAGAGUUUAUUAUUGAAGCUUUCACAUGCCCAGUCUGCUUAAUUGCCUUUUAUAAGCAUUUUACAGUGAGCCCUGGAGGCCAAUGAAGGUGGGGAUGGUGUGCAAACCUAUCAAUGGAACCAAAAAAUGCUCAGCAGAUGUCCCAAAGUCACAGGAGUGUGAAAAAAAAAUUAAUAAUGACAGUCAACUGUAACAGCUUAACAAAGAUGAGGACACAGUGCAUUCAUUUGCUAGAGUCACCAUCGUAAAGAGUUAUGUAAAAGUUACUGUGUUUGCAUAGCAGAAACCAACCAAAAGGAAAUUAAAUUAUUUUUACUACUAAAAAGGAAAGACAAUAUCACAAGUACUGAAGAAAAGUACUUUUUUGCAUGGUACAAAAAAGACAUUAAAAAGAAAAAAAAUAGCACUCCAUCUCCCAUCCUGAAUCUCUUAUAGAAAUAUUAGUAAAGUGCACUUGAAAUAUGUUUCUCCAAACAGUAGUGUUCUCUGUUCUAUUUGUUUAACACAGCAGAAUACAGAAAACAGAUAAAUUUUGAACCCCAGCAGUACAUCCAUAUGAUAUUAAAUUCCUGCACAGUACAAAUGCCAGCCAGGUCUCCCCAGCUUUUACUCAGUGUGACUAUAUGAAGACAUUGAGCCCUGUCUGGAAAACACACAGUUUACAUUGGAGCCAAGCUGUGUCAUCUGUGCCACUGGGCAGGCAGUGAGAUUGUUCUGCUCCUCUGCUGUUGCUUUUUCCACAUGUUCCCUGCUGAGCUGGCAUGCUCCACUAGAGAUACCUGCUUGUACUCGAAUAUAUUUCAGGGCACACAGGGGCUGUGUAUCCUUUCUGGCUGCAGCUCACACUGCUACAACUCCUAUUCAUCCUUGGCUACUCCCUGGUGCACCCCUCGCAGUGUUUGCCACACUUUCUCUCUUGCCAGCAGAGCUUUCCUGCAAGCACCUUUUAAAACAUUUCAGGUAAAUUGAGUCAAAUUCACAGGAUUCAGUGAGAAACUUGCAGGUAUGCAUAGUUCAAAUAAUAAAUCCUAACAAUUCAAAGCAGAGGUCCAGGCUAAUUUACAGUAAGUGAAGUCGAUAAAGUAAUGACACCACAAAUAAUACCUGUUGCUCUAAGAAACUUGUAUCUCUUCUUUUUUCCUUUUAUCACCAAAUUCCUAAACACAAUUAAAACUUCCUCUACCAUGAUAGUUGUGGUUUAAAAAGCCUGCCUCUUAAAAUUGCAAUAAAUAACCAGACAUAUUUUUAUCUUCCAUCAAAUCCCCCCGUAAGGCCUCAGAUUCUUGGCAAAUUUCCAGGUAUAAAGAUUUUGUUGCUGUUUCCCAUCCCUGUAUUCUUUUUAAAUGUACUUCCUCCCCAGUCUCCAGACUCAGGAGAAGAGACAGAGAGUGCAUGCCAUGCAAAUGUUACAGCAGAGCCAAUUGCCCAACAAAUUGAUUUGUUUGGUACAACCUACUCUAAUCCAUGUCUUCAGACAGAAAGCCCUCCAGGGCAUAGUCUGUCUCUUUUCUGUUGUUAAAUGACACAAAAGGCCCAACCCGCCCUGGGGACCUGGGUGCUAUCUGGAUUCUCUGAGGUGCUUUAUCUCUCUUCAUCAUCAGGCCAUCCCAACAAGACAUCAUCAGGCUGGGCAUAGUCUGCUGAGGCUCUUCAGCAUUUGUCAUCAGAUGUUAAAUUCAUAUAAAAAUGAAGUAUAUUCCUUCUAUCUCUUCUGAAAGACCUCCUUGUCCUUAAUCUCCCAGUAUGUCAGUUCUCAGCACAAGGAAGCCAUUGCCAAAUCUGGGCCCAAUUUAGCACACACAGGAUGCUCUAGCUGUUUGCAGCCCAAUAUAAGCUGGCCUCACAGAAACCAAACCUCCUGAUAUACCCAGUCAAAUGUGGAUUUUUGAACGUGCAGAAUGUGCAGAUGCCAUGGUCAUGGUGAUAAGUACCUGGAACACAAAUCCUGUGAGCAUUCUGGUUCCACUGCCCAUACACAGUUGUGAAAUCAUCAUGCCAAUACAGAGUGUUUUCUAAACUGCUCAUCACACUAGAACCAAACCAAGCACACACAGAGACUGAACUACCUCUUGUCCAUGAAGCAAAUAUUGGUUUUGAUUGCAGGAUUGAGGAUUUUGGCAGGCUACCAGGGAGCUCCCAGUGUGGUUGCCUGUAUGACCCAGGAGUGUAUAAGGCUAGAGGGCAAACAUAGGAUUCCUGCUGUGCCAACAUAUCAACCUUUGUAAACACAAAUAUAGAAUGAAAAAGAAGAAGCAGCACAACCAUAUCAUGCCAUAGAAUCCACAGGCACCACCGGAAUGAGAGCUGUGCCAGGGGUAAGGCAGCUUCAAGAUCAAAGUGCAGAUUUAUCAAGAAAACAAUGAAGAAUAUGAAAACAAAACCACUUUAACUAUGCAGAGUCACUGUAGAUUCAUACCAAGAAGAUUUCACUCAUUACCACAUUUGUGAACAAAAGGGAGAGGCAAGCAAAAAAGGAAAGGCAGAAUGACAUUAAUGAGGCUGCAAAAAUGCAGCUGAGAGAUUUCUCCCUCAAGUUUCACAUGUGUGUAAUAUAAUCAGUGAUGGAUUAACAUGUUGGAA